GCACUCGAUUCAGCAGCAUAUGCUAAAACUGGAACGAUACAGGGAAGAUUAGCAUGGUCCCUGCACAGGGAUGACAUGCAAAUUUGUGAAGAUAAAAUGAUGGGA